AAAGAUAUAGUAUAAUAAAAUAUAUUUCAUUUACACUGAAAAGAUACUUCAUAUUUAGUUAUCUUUA
rnacentral:tRNA from 1 species